CCUACGGGAGGCAGCAGUAAGGAAUAUUGGACAAUGCCCGCAAGGGUGAUCCAGCCAUGCCGCGUGCAGGAAGAAGGCGCUAUGCGUCGUAAACUGCUUUUACACCGGAGAAAACCUCCCCUCGUGAGGGGAGCUGAUAGUAUGGUGAGAAUAAGCAUCGGCUAACUUCGUGCCAGCAGCCGCGGUAAGACGAAGGAUGCAAGCGUUAUCCGGAUUCAUUGGGUUUAAAGGGAGCGUAGGCGGCCCUGUAAGUCAGUGGUGAAAUCUCUCGGCUUAACCGAGAAAUUGCCAUUGAUACUGCAGGGCUUGAGUACAGUUGCUGUGGGCGGAAUAUGACAUGUAGUGGUGAAAUACAUAGAGAUGUCAUAGAACACCGAUUGCGAAGGCAGCUCACAAAACUGUAACUGACGCUGAGGCUCGAAAGUGCGGGGAUCAAACAGGAUUAGAUACCCUGGUAGUCCGCACUGUAAACGAUGAUUACUCGCUGCUGGGAGGUAACUUCAGUGGCUUAGCGAAGCGANAGUAAUCCACCUGGGAGUCGCCGGCAACGGUGAACUUAAGGAAUUGACGGCUUGAGAGNGCGAGGACGCACGAGGGAGAGG
rnacentral:rRNA from 1 species